ACACGGGAGUCCCGGGAUCGUGGGGCUGAGAGGGGCUCACGCCGAGCCCGACCGUCAUACCUGACCCGGAUCAUGCCGGCGCAGGAAG
rnacentral:ncRNA from 1 species